GACUCAUUAGCUCAGUUGGCAGAGCACUUGACUUUUAAUCAAGGUGUCCGGAGUUCGAUCUCCGAUGGGUCACCA
rnacentral:tRNA from 4 species